rnacentral:rRNA from 1 species
UACAGAGGUCUCAAGCGUUUGUUCGGAUUCAUUGGGCGUAAAGGGUGUGUAGGUGGCGCGCUAAGUCGGGGUGUGAAAUUUCGGAGCUUAACUCCGAAACUGCAUUCGAUACUGGCGUGCUUGAGGACUGGAGAGGAGACUGGAAUUUACGGUGUAGCAGUGAAAUGCGUAGAUAUCGUAAGGAAGACCAGUGGCGAAGGCGGGUCUCUGGACAGUUCCUGACACUGAGACACGAAGGCCAGGGGAGCAAACAGG